rnacentral:rRNA from 1 species
AUUGAACGCUGGCGGCAGGCUUAACACAUGCAAGUCGAGCGAGCGGCGGACGGGUGAGUAAUGUCUGGGAAACUGCCUGAGGGAGGGGGAUAACUACUGGAAACGGUCGCUAAUACCGCAUACCAUCAGAUGGGCCCAGAUGGGAUUAGCGAGUAGGUGGGGGAAAGGCUCACCUAGGCGACGUUCCCUAGCUGGUCUGAGAGGAUGACCAGCCACACUGUAACGGUGGCACGGUCCAGACUCCUAUGGGAGGCAGCAGUGGGGAAUAUUGCACAAUGGGCGCAAGCUUGAUGCGGCCAUGCCGGGUGUGUGAAGAAGUCCUUCGGGUGGUAAAGCACUUUCAUCGAGGAGGCGUUACUCGCAGAAGAAGCACCGGCUAACUCCGUGCCAGCGGCCGCGGUAAUAC